rnacentral:rRNA from 2 species
CACGGGUGCGUAACGCGUGGGAAUCUGCCCUUGGGUUCGGAAUAACUUCGGGAAACUGAAGCUAAUACCGGAUGAUGACGAAAGUCCAAAGAUUUAUCGCCCAGGGAUGAGCCCGCGUAGGAUUAGCUAGUUGGUGGGGUAAAGGCUCACCAAGGCAACGAUCCUUAGCUGGUCUGAGAGGAUGAUCAGCCACACUGGGACUGAGACACGGCCCAGACUCCUACGGGAGGCAGCAGUAGGGAAUAUUGGACAAUGGGCGAAAGCCUGAUCCAGCAAUGCCGCGUGAGUGAUGAAGGCCUUAGGGUUGUAAAGCUCUUUUACCCGAGAUGAUAAUGACAGUAUCGGGAGAAUAAGCUCCGGCUAACUCCGUGCCAGCAGCCGCGGUAAUACGGAGGGAGCUAGCGUUGUUCGGAAUUACUGGGCGUAAAGCGCACGUAGGCGGCGAUUUAAGUCAGAGGUGAAAGCCCGGGGCUCAACCCCGGAACUGCCUUUGAGACUGGAUUGCUAGAAUCUUGGAGAGGCGAGUGGAAUUCCGAGUGUAGAGGUGAAAUUCGUAGAUAUUCGGAAGAACACCAGUGGCGAAGGCGGCUCGCUGGACAAGUAUUGACGCUGAGGUGCGAAAGCGUGGGGAGCAAACAGC